AGAGUUUGAUCCUGGCUCAGGAUGAACGCUAGCUACAGGCUUAACACAUGCAAGUCGAGGGGAAACGACAUCGAAAGCUUGCUUUUGAUGGGCGUCGACCGGCGCACGGGUGAGUAACGCGUAUCCAACCUGCCCACCACUUGGGGAUAACCUUGCGAAAGUAAGACUAAUACCCAAUGAUAUCUCUAGAAGACAUCUGAAAGAGAUUAAAGAUUUAUCGGUGAUGGAUGGGGGAUGCGUCUGAUUAGCUUGUUGGCGGGGUAACGGCCCACCAAGGCAACGAUCAGUAGGGGUUCUGAGAGGAAGGUCCCCCCANAUUGGAACUGAGACACGGUCCAAACUCCUACGAGAGGCAGCA
rnacentral:rRNA from 1 species